rnacentral:rRNA from 1 species
UCGGGAAUUUUGGGCAAUGGGGGAAACCCUGACCCAGCAACGCCGCGUGAAGGAUGAAGUAUUUCGGUAUGUAAACUUCGAAAGAAUAGGAAGAAUAAAUGACGGUACUAUUUAUAAGGUCCGGCUAACUACGUGCCAGCAGCCGCGGUAAUACGUAGGGACCAAGCGUUGUUCGGAUUUACUGGGCGUAAAGGGCGCGUAGGCGGCAUGACAAGUCACUUGUGAAAUCUCUGGGCUUAACCCAGAACGGCCAAGUGAUACUGUCGCGCUAGAGUGCAGAAGGGGCAAUCGGAAUUCUUGGUGUAGCGGUGAAAUGCGUAGAUAUCAAGAGGAACACCUGAGGUGGAGACGGGUUGCUGGGCUGACACUGACGCUGAGGCGCGAAAGCCAGGGGAGCAAACGGGAUUAGAUACCCCUGUAGUCCCUGAGCGGGCUGGCAAGGCGCAU